rnacentral:misc_RNA from 1 species
UCUCCGUUGGUGAACCAGCGGAGGGAUCAUUACAGAGUUUUUAACUCCCAAACCCUUUGUGAACUUACCUUAUUGUUGCCUCGGCGAGCCCCUGGGAUUCGUCCUACGCCCGCCGGUGGCCCAUUAAACUCUGUUACUUUUAAGCAAUCUGAGUCUUUUAUAAAAUAAAGUCAAAACUUUCAACAACGAAUCUCUUGGUUCUGGCAUCGAUGAAGAACGCAGC